GACUGCUGUAGGGCAGUGGUAGAACACCCCUGGAUUCAAUUGCCAGUACUGGAAAAAUAAAUGAAUUGAAUUGUGUAUGUAUUUUAAACUCAGGUGUCUGUGACACCCCUGUAGCCAUUGGUGUGAUACUCCUGGUGUUACCCACACUUUAUGCUACAGAUGAAGAGCUGAGGCCCAGGAGGGUGGGCUGAGUUGCUCAGAAUCAUCAAUCCCAGCUGGGGCCAUCUUCUGGGCUGGGCCUCCUGACUCCCAGACUAGUGCUCCUCAGCAUGCUACAGCCUGGUGGUUCAACCUCUCACCCUGAGAGGCCUCUCACCUUGGCCCCUUGCCCGUUUCCCUGGCAGAUAAAGGCCUCAGACAGAUGGCAAACAGAACUCAGUUCCAGAGUCAACACAGGUCUGAUUCAUCCAGUGGUUUGUGCCUGCACGAGCCCCAAGGCUGUCUUCUGAAAGAUCCUCUCCUCUUUUUAUCACUUAUUCUCUUCACUGUGGCCAGAUUGGGACUCUUGAGCAACAGGAAAGAUACCUGUGAAUGUGAGAAUUGCACUGGUUUUUUAAAGAGGGUUUUCCAAGCCACAGGGCUCCAUCUGUCCCAUUCCCCUGGGCAGCUUAGAGCAUUACCC
rnacentral:lncRNA from 1 species